rnacentral:rRNA from 1 species
GAUGAACGCUAGCUACAGGCUUAACACAUGCAAGUCGAGGGGCAGCAUGAACAAAGCUUGCUUUGUUUGAUGGCGACCGGCGCACGGGUGCGUAACACGUAUCCAAUCUGCCCGCGGCUCGGGGAUAGCCCAUCGAAAGAUGGAUUAAUACCCGAUGGUGUGGUUUCUCCGCAUGGGGUUUCCACUAAAGGUUUUCCGGCCGCGGAUGAGGAUGCGUAUGAUUAGGUAGUAGGCGGGGUAACGGCCCACCUAGCCUUCGAUCAUUAGGGGUUCUGAGAGGAAGGUCCCCCACACUGGAACUGAGACACGGUCCAGACUCCUACGGGAGCAGCAGUGAGGAAUAUUGGUCAAUGGGCGAGAGCCUGAACCAGCCAAGUAGCGUGAAGGAGACUGCCCUAUGGGUUGUAAACUUCUUUUGUCGGGAAUAAAGUGCAGUAUGUAUACUGUUUUG